rnacentral:piRNA from 1 species
UCAAAGGACAACUUACAAAGGCAUUUGGGAC